UAUUGGACAAUGGGGGUAACCCUUAUCCAGCGAAGCCGCGUGAGUGAAGAAGUAUUUCGGUAUGUAAAGCUCUAUCAGCAGGGAAGAAAGAAAUGACGGUACCUGACUAAGAAGCCCCGGCGAACUACGUGCCAGCAGCCGCGGUAAUACGGAUGGGGCAAGCGUUAUCCGGAUUUACUGGGUGUAAAGGGAGCGCAGGCGGCUUGGCAAGUCUGAUGUGAAAGGCUGGGGCUCAACCCCAGGACUGCAUUGGAAACUGUUAGGCUGGAGUGUCGGAGAGGUAAGCGGAAUUCCUAGUGUAGCGGUGAAAUGCGUAGAUAUUAGGAGGAACACCAGUGGCGAAGGCGGCUUACUGGACGACAACUGACGCUGAGGCUCGAAAGCGUGGGGAGCA
rnacentral:rRNA from 1 species